UCGGGAAUUUUGGGCAAUGGGCGAAAGCCUGACCCAGCAACGCCGCGUGAAGGAUGAAGUUUUCGGAAUGUAAACUUCGUAAAAAUAGGAAGAAUAAAUGACGGUACUAUUUGUAAGGUCCGGCUAACUACGUGCCAGCAGCCGCGGUAAUACGUAGGGACCAAGCGUUGUUCGGAUUUACUGGGCGUAAAGGGCGCGUAGGCGGCAAUUCAAGUCAUCUGUGAAAUCUCCGGGCUUAACUCGGAACGGUCAGAUGAUACUGCUUUGCUAGAGUGCAGAAGGGGCAAUCGGAAUUCUUGGUGUAGCGGUGAAAUGCGUAGAUAUCAAGAGGAACACCUGAGGUGAAGACGGGUUGCUGGGCUGACACUGACGCUGAGGCGCGAAAGCUAGGGUAGCAAACGGGAUUAGAUACCCACGUAGUCCCUGAGCGGGCUGGCAAGGCGCAU
rnacentral:rRNA from 1 species